CACGUAGGGGGCUAGCGUUGUCCGGAAUCAUUGGGCGUAAAGCGCGUGUAGGCGGCCCGAUAAGUCCGCUGUGAAAGUCCAGGGCUCAACCCUGGGAUGCCGGUGGAUACUGUCGGGCUCGAGUCCGGAAGAGGCGAGUGGAAUUCCUGGUGUAGCGGUGAAAUGCGCAGAUAUCAGGAGGAACACCAAUGGCGAAGGCAGCUCGCUGGGACGUGACUGACGCUGAGACGCGAAAGCGUGGGGAGCAAACAGG
rnacentral:rRNA from 1 species